CCAUGCAGUCGAGCGCCCCGCAAGGGGAGCGGCAGACGGGUGAGUAACGCGUGGGAAUCUACCUUUUGCUACGGAAUAACUCAGGGAAACUUGUGCUAAUACCGUAUGUGCCCUUCGGGGGAAAGAUUUAUCGGCAAAGGAUGAGCCCGCGUUGGAUUAGCUAGUUGGUGGGGUAAAGGCCCACCAAGGCGACGAUCCAUAGCUGGUCUGAGAGGAUGAUCAGCCACACUGGGACUGAGACACGGCCCAGACUCCUACGGGAGGCAGCAGUGGGGAAUAUUGGACAAUGGGCGCAAGCCUGAUCCAGCCAUGCCGCGUGAGUGAUGAAGGCCCUAGGGUUGUAAAGCUCUUUCACCGGUGAAGAUAAUGACGGUAACCGGAGAAGAAGCCCCGGCUAACUUCGUGCCAGCAGCCGCGGUAAUACGAAGGGGGCUAGCGUUGUUCGGAUUUACUGGGCGUAAAGC
rnacentral:rRNA from 2 species